rnacentral:rRNA from 1 species
AAUCAACGCUGGCGGCGUGCCUAACACAUGCAAGUCGAACGCGAAAGCCCCGCAAGGGGCAAGUAGAGUGGCAAACGGGUGAGUAACACGUGGGUGACCUGCCUUCGAGCGGGGGAUAACGUCCCGAAAGGGACGCUAAUACCGCAUAACAUCCUGCCUUUGAAGAGGUGGAGAUCAAAGCUGGGGAUCGCAAGACCCGGCACUUGAAGAGGGGCCCGCGUCUGAUUAGCUAGUUGGUGGGGAACGGCCUACCAAGGCAACGAUCAGUAUCCGGCCUGAGAGGGCGGACGGACACACUGGGACUGAGACACGGCCCAGACUCCUACGGGAGGCAGCAGUGGGGAAUUGUUCGCAAUGGGCGCAAGCCUGACGACGCAACGCCGCGUGGAGGAUGAAGAUUUUUCGGAUCGUAAACUCCUGUCGAAUGGGACGAACAGAUUGCGGGUUAACAGCCCGUAGUCCUGACGGUACCGUUAAAGGAAACCCCGGCUAACUCCGUGCCAGCCGCCGCCGUAAU